rnacentral:lncRNA from 1 species
UGUGAGACCGCCCCUUGCAUGCUGCGAACCCAAACACACAAAACAUAAGUCGUGUGGGUCCUUAGCCGCCAUAGUGGAGCAGCGACACAGAGCUCUUAAAAGAGCUUUUGGGGGUAGAAAAGGCGUGCUCAUGAAGGACAAAGUCGAGACCAGGAAAUCAGCGGCGGGUUCGUCCUGAGUCUUCUCGCUUCUCUCUAGGCAUCUUCAGGCCAGUCCUGUAGCUGAAGAUAAUGGGAGGCUGAUUGAGGGGAAGCGUCCCCUUACAUAGGGACACCUGUACUCCUAUUGGCUGCAGAGCAUGAGGCGGCAACACGUCCACGCCAUCCCGGCCUCUGAGGGAUGGCGAUAGAACACCCAAAUAACACAUCUGUAACUGGAAACACUGGAUUAAAGAAUUGAGCUAAAGCAUUGAAUAGACCAGACCAGACAAAGUGUCUCGACAAAGAUUAAUUAUUAUUGAGCCCACCUCAGUACUACUCUCAUCCUACUCUCUGCAACAGUAUGCAAUGUAAUAUGGAUUAGGUGAUCGCAUCUGAGCCAAUGACAAUACAACUGAGGGUAUCCAAUUAACCUUUUUAGCCAAAUGAAGAUGAAUUAUAGACAAUGUGGUUAUAACAUACAAGGGAUACAGAGCCGUUAUGUAUGUGGCUGUUAUGAUGACUCAAGUAUCUGCAGAGCAGUAGGCACAGAAAUGGACAUCAGCACAGCAAUAUGGCACAGUUAUGGGGUACAGCAAUGUGCAUCUGCAUAACAAUGGGAACAUCAAUAGGGAACCGCAAUGGGCAUCCUUAGAACUGUGUUUUUCCAUAACUCUGACAUGAAAUUAAGAUAAAUUAAGACACAGACCAGAAACAACUUUGCUGCCCUGGAUCCAGAGGUUCCAGCGCCUUCGUCCUUGGUAGCUUCCCAAUCAAGAUCGGAACCGGAGUUACCAGCGUCUUCAUCCUCGGCUCUGUCUCUCUCUCCGGUGGCUUCUACCUCGGGUUCAGAUCCUCGGAGCUCCCAGACCAUGAGUCUGCCUGAGAGACAGGCCAAUUCAACAUCACCAGCUGUCAUCAUAGGCAGCUCUACGUGUGCGCCUGUUCACAAAUCUCUGCUCUCCUGCACCUGACUUCGCUACCAGUACGGACACACCUGACAGAAUCUUACACCAACUAUGGAGUCAGCAGGAGCAGGUACCCCAGUCAGAGGAGUCGAG